rnacentral:rRNA from 1 species
UACAGAGGUCCCAAGCGUUGUUCGGAUUCACUGGGCGUAAAGGGUGCGUAGGCGGUCGGGUAAGUCUGAUGUGAAAUCUCACAGCUUAACUGUGAAACUGCAUUGGAUACUAUUCGGCUUGAGAGUUGGAGGGGGGACUGGAAUUCUUGGUGUAGCAGUGAAAUGCGUAGAUAUCAAGAGGAACACCAGUGGCGAAGGCGAGUCCCUGGACGAUACCUGACACUGAGGCACGAAAGCCGGGGGAGCAAACAGG